UGGACUCCUUAAUCCAGUGGCAGUGCUGUUCCAGCCUGAACUUGGAAUGUAGUCCGUGUUGAAGGAAUGAAUAUGUUCACUCAUACUGGUGGUCUUGUCUUUUCCUCAGCUCCCCCAACACCCCUGGAGCCAAUGACCUGCCGAGAUGAGGCAAGACCCCGUCGUCACUGGUCCACUGACAGCUACUGCAGCAGACUUAGGAGAGCGAAGCUUCUUACAUCACUGUGAUAAGCUCAGAGCGUUCAAACAGCUUCUGAAAUUUGAUCUAUAUCAAAGACUGACUGCUUAAUUAAAUGAGCUUAAUUAUAGGCAUCUAUGUCAUGGAAGUGAUCAGCCCAAAACACAAAGUUAUAUCAGAACUUUGCUGCGUUCUUAUAUAUUUGCCCUAAUCCGUGAACUUGAAGGAAACACCUCUGAAUACGUUAUGUCUCAGAUUCUUCUUCUGGUGUGUCAUGACGUUCAUUCGUGACUUCAAAUUUGCAUAAGAUCAACCAUUCUCUCAUUACUGAAGCUGGAGACAGGGAGCUUUAACACAGAGUGUGUGUGGAGUCCAGGCCGUUGCGUUCUACAGACACGUCUGUGUGCCUGUACAAGUUCAUGUUCUUAAUCUCAUCUGUGUGACUGCAUAAUCUCAUCUUCGUUUUACUCUCGUGUGUAUAAUUAUUUAUACUGUUUUUUUAUUUAUGCUUUCUGCAGCUGACAGCUCUGGUUGGAUGGUGAGGCUCUAGCAGACGUGCUGGUGAACAGAUGCACAUCGGAAAGCUACACAGACGCGUUUACCUGGUUAUGACCCCUUUUUCCAUCUCCCAGCCUGAAGGAUCUCCGAGUCUUAACGACGUACCCUGGAGAGCUUGCCUACUACACGCGCAUUUACAGACCUUUCAUAAUGAGGUCUUAUUUUUCCUACAUCUCAUGAAACAUGUAAGACUCCAGCUCAUUGACUUUCAUCUCUUCGGUUGGUUUUAUACGUUGACCUUACGAGACAAAUGUGUCUGGUCUUUCAUCGAAUGACGGU
ensembl:lncRNA